rnacentral:rRNA from 1 species
UGCUCUCAGGAAAAAAAAAUUGAGGGUAACUCCUGCCCAGUGAAUAGUUUCAACGGCCGCGGUAUCCUAACCGUGCAAAGGUAGCAUAAUCACUUGCCCAUUAAUUGUGGGCUAGAAUGAAAGGAUCAACGAAAUAAGAACUGUCUCUAUAAGCUACCUAAAAAUUAACAUCUAACCGAAGAGUGUUAGAUUACGUCGAAGGACAAGAAGACCCUAUAGAGCUUAAUUUAAACAAAUACUAAAAAUUUACUAAAAUUCGGUUGGGGCGACCUGGGAAUAUCAAUCAUCCCAUGAUAAAAGAUAAAUUUAUCUAGCUACUGACCCUUAUUUAAGAUCACCAAAACAAGCUACCUUAGGGAUAACAGGCUAAUCUCACUAAAGAGUCCUUAUCAAUAGUGGGGUUUGGCACCUCGAUGUUGGCUUAGGGAAUCUAUGUGGCGCAAAAGUCACAUAAAGAUGGUUUGUUCAA